rnacentral:rRNA from 1 species
UACAGAGGGGGCAAGCGUUAUUCGGAAUUAUUGGGCGUAAAGGGCGUGUAGGCGGCCUGGCAAGUGGAAGGUGAAAUCCCUCGGCUUAACCGAGGAACUGCCCUCCAAACUGCUUGGCUUGAGUCCGGGAGAGGUGAGUGGAAUUCCCAGUGUAGCGGUGAAAUGCGUAGAUAUUGGGAGGAACACCAGUGGCGAAGGCGGCUCACUGGACCGGAACUGACGCUGAGGCGCGAAAGCGUGGGGAGCAAACGGG